AAAUUUUAAAUUUGAAAUAGAAAAAUUUAAAUUUAGAUUUAGAAUUCAAAAUUUAAGUUUUAAAUUUUGAAUUUAUAUUUUAAACUAAAAAUAGAAUUUUAAUUUUUUGUGCAAAGUUUAAAUUUUAAAUUUAAAUUUAAAUUCAGAUUCAAAUUGUAAAUUAUUUGAAAAUAAAAUUUAGUAAAAAAUUAUUAUUUGAAAAAAUAAAAAAAAAAUUUGCCAACCAUUUUAUAAAAUCACUUUCAAAAUACUAUUUUACUUCUAUACUCAGCCGAACGCUGUACAACUUUUUAACGAAAAUGAAAUUUUCAAACUAAAAUUAAUUUUU
rnacentral:lncRNA from 1 species